GUGAGGAAUAUUGGUCAAUGGACGAGAGUCUGAACCAGCCAAGUCGCGUGAAGGAAGACGGUUCUAUGAAUUGUAAACUUCUUUUGUGCAGGAAUAAAGUACGGUACGUGUACCGUUUUGUAUGUACUCUGCGAAUAAGGAUCGGCUAACUCCGUGCCAGCAGCCGCGGUAAUACGGAGGAUCCAAGCGUUAUCCGGAUUUAUUGGGUUUAAAGGGUGCGCAGGCGGGUUGAUAAGUCAGCGGUGAAAGUUUGCAGCUUAACUGUAAAAUUGCCGUUGAAACUGUCGAUCUUGAGUGCAAAUGAGGUAAGCGGAAUGUGUUGUGUAGCGGUGAAAUGCUUAGAUAUAACACAGAACACCGAUUGCGAAGGCAGCUUACUGGGAUGCAACUGACGCUCAUGCACGAAAGCGUGGGGAUCAAACAGGAUUAGAUACCCUUGUAGUCC
rnacentral:rRNA from 1 species